GUUUAUCAGGGGUUUCCGCUAUUGCUUCGUCUUCAUUUUCUCUUGCUGCUACCAUGGAAGAAGCGACUUUCACCUCCCGCCGUGAUUCUGAGGCCUUUCCAGCCAUGUCAAACUCAAAAUGUGACUGAAAAACAGAAGCAUUUGGGAUACAUAACAGAAGUCAUUAAAAAGAGCCAUGUAAUAUGUGCCUGCUUCCCCUUCUGCCAUGAUUGUAAGUUUCCUGAUGCCUUCUCAGCCAUGCAGAACUGUAAGUCAAUUAAACAUCCUUUGUUUAUAAAUUACGUGGUCUUUGGUAGUAUCUUUAUAGCAGUGUGAAAACAGACUAAUACACCAAGUAACUUUGCAAAAUGAUGUUUGACUGGCAAGUAUAAGACAAAAGACGAAGGAAAUUACAUAUCAAUGCUGUACUUCAGUUGAUAAAGUUUGUUUCUCAAAAUAAAACACAAAGAAUUUUAUAAAGGAUCUCAUUAUUGACUCACAGCUACACCAUCUCUAACCUUAACUUCUUCUAUUUUAUCCAUGCAUUCCAUACCAGCCCCGUUGGCAUUCCAAAUUCACUAUGUGUGCAAAUCAUGGAAUCAUUUCCUGUGAUAACUCCAGGUUCUAAUUCUGUCAUAAUACUUUGGGUCUUUGACUUUAUCUUUCUGAUAUUUUCUAGUUCCCUUGGAUUAUAUGACUUUUGAUUUCUCUUUGUUCUUUCAAAAGUGGAUAGAGCCUCCAACAACUUAACCUGUGCCUUAUUUAUGAAAACUGUGCAACUACAGUUUCUUUAUUUAUACUUCAAUUAGUUUCUUAUUAUUGGUGUUUCCUGCCCUCUGGCCAAUUUUAUGUUUUUAAAUCUUAAUUUGUCUGGAGCAUGCUUCAACCUCAAACUCUCAUGUUUAGCAUUUUCAUUGAUAUUACACAGUAAGUAGUACAUUUUAUUGACAUAUUUAAAGUUUCAUUUGAAUAUUUGAAGUUGAUUUUCAGAUAUGUGCAAUUUAAAUAUUGUAAGGUAUUUAUUGUGUAUUCUACUUAGGUAUCAAAACACCCAUUAACAUAUUUUACUUCUUUAUCUCUCAUUAAUAGUAAUAUAUUUUCCAAUAUUUUAUUUUAAAAUGCAUAGUAACUUAGAAGUACUUUGGCGAUGAAACUUAAGAAUACAAGUUCUUUUUCUCCUCAGAAAGUUUUACUUAGUCAAUAUUUGACUACAUAACGUGUUAAAGAUAAUAAGCCUAUCGAAGUCUCAGCAGAUCAAAUUUACUUUCCAAUUCCCUUCCCUACAUGUGAAUAAACUCAGUACAAAUUCUGGAUUUUGUCAAGCCUUGAGGCAAAAUCAGAAUUUACUAAUAGAAACUGAAGUAGAAAGGUUCCUUGUGACAAAUGCCAGAAGAACUAAUUCUUUUCCUCUACAUUAAAUAAAAAUAAAAUCACUCUGCUAAUGGGAUACUUGAAGUUGUUAUAUCAGAAAAUAAAAUUGUGAAUUCUCCUUAAUAAAACUUGGGACAAUAAAAAAUGAAACAAAAAAAGAAAGAAAACUUCUUGAGUCAUAAAUUAUCUCAAAAAUAUGCCAUACACACCAAUUCUGUUUUCCAUAUCCACAACACUAAAUGCUCCCUUUUAUUUCAAGCUAAGCAUUAAAUUUUUCAUUCUGUCAGACAACAUUGUUUCUAUCAACUGUACCUAAAAAAGGACUAUUCAGAGCAGAAGGAAAACAACCAAAUAUACAAAUUUAAUUUUUAUGAUAAAAGCUGUAAAAAAGCGAAGACUUAUGCAGAAAAUCAUCUCUGAAAUGUAUCUGAAUGAAUAUAAAUAAUGAUGUUCCGAUUAAACUUAGUAUGUGUGUCAUGAGAAGGGCAUAGCAUGGGUACUAUAUUACUUGAGCUUAAUGUUUCUAUUGUCUGUUUUCUAUUACAACUUAUCAUUGUACAUGUACUAUAUUUUAACUAUGAAAAUAAAAAUAUAAGCCAAAAAAUAAAGAGAAUAUAACUGUUUCUCUUCUGCAUAGUAUGUGGUACCCAAACAUAUUAGGCUCUUAAGUGACAUAUAGUUUUGUGUGUUUUUUUAAAAAAGAGGAAGAAAACACAAAGUCUCGCUCCAUCACCCAGGCUGGCGUGCAGUGGGCAAUCUUGGCUGAAUGCUACCUCUGCCUCCCAGAUUCAACAGAUUCUCAUGUAUCAGCUUCGCUAGUAGUUGAGAUUACAGGCACUUGCCACCACGCCCAUUUUUUGGGUUUUAAAAGAGGCCAACAGCUGACCUCUCUACCUGCUACUGCGACUUAAUUCAUUGCUGUGUCACCACUGCAAAGUGCCUAAAAAGCCACCAACCCUAGGAUGAGACAUUGAAUUUAGUUAUCAUCUUUCUCCAAAGACCAUCUAAAUAAAUUCUAUCACACACUUCGUCACUAUUUAUUCUCUUUUACUUUUAAUAAACUAUUUUAGAACAAUUUUAGAUUUGCAGAAAACUGUGAGGAUAUCAUAAUACAGAGUUUCCAAUUUCCACAUACCCUGCUGCAAGUUCUCCCUAUUAUUAAACUCUUAUGUAAGCAUGGUACACUCAUUGCAAUUACUGAAAUGAUAUUGAUUUUUAUAUUAUUAUUGUUAUCAUUAUGUAAAUGCCAUGCUUUAUUCGUAUUUUCUUUUUAUGUUUCAUGCAUAAGCCCAUUCAGGAUACUGCAUUGUAUUUAGUUGUCAUGUCACAUUUGCCUACCUUAAUUUUGACGACUUCUCGGACUUUUCUUGUUUUCGAUGACCUUCACAAUUUUGAGAAUAACUUGUCAGACAUUUUGUAGAAUAUUAUUCCGUAGGGUUUGUCUGGUGUUUUUCUCAUAAUUUGACUUGGGUUAUGGGAUUUGGGGAGGAAAGGCAUAGAUGUAAAAUGCCAUUUUCCCGAAUAUCAUAUCAGUGGUCCAAACUAUCAACCUGACAUAUCACUGUUGAUAUUUACCUUGAUCUCCUGGCUGAGGUAGUUUUGUCAGGUUUCUGCAUUGUGAAGGUAUUCUUUUUAGUCUUUUUACCACAAUCACCUAGAAGGACAUCUUUAUGUGUAGCUCACACCUAAUAAUUAGAGUUAUGUUCCACUUUCUUGAGAGCUGCCUAAAUUAUUUGAGAUUCUUCUGCAUGGGAGAUUUGUUUCUUCUCUUCCAUUCAUUUAUUUAUUGAAUUAUUUAUUUAUAUCAGUAUAAACUGAUGGAUAUAUAUUUUAUAUUAUGGGUUAUAUUUUAAUACAAUUUUAUUUUGUUCUUCAACUUUUUUCAGAUGUAGACAAUGGGAGCUCUUUCAGUUGGCUCCUGUGUACCUUUGACAUAUCAAAAUCAAUUUGUGUGUGUGUGUGUGUGUGUGUGUGUGGUGUGUUUUGAGCAUGCUUUACAUUAUGGCACUCUGAAAUGCACCAGCUUGUCUUGUAUCUUUUCUUUCCUAGUCCUAGAAUCAGCUGUUUCUUCGAUGAAUCCUAUCUCCUUUUAUUGGAGAAUGACAUUAGACAGGAAGAUUUUAGGGUAUGCAUACUGGCUCAUGCUUGUAAUCCUAGCACUUCUUGGAAGCCAAGGUGGGAGGAUUGCUUGAGGCCAGGAGUUUGAGACCGCCUUGGCCAACACAGGGAGACCUCAUAUCU